AUUGAACGCUGGCGGCAGGCUUAACACAUGCAAGUCGAGCGAGCGGCGGACGGGUGAGUAAUGUCUGGGAAACUGCCUGAUGGAGGGGGAUAACUACUGGAAACGGUAGCUAAUACCGCAUACCCUCAGAUGUGCCCUGAUGGGAUUAGCUUGUAGGUGGGGUAAUGGCUCACCUAGUCGACGACCCCUAGCUGGUCUGAGAGGAUGACCAGCCACACUGGAACUUGAACACGGUCCAGACUCCUACGGGAGGCAGCAGUGGGGAAUAUUGCACACUGGGGGCAAGCCUGAUGCAGCCAUGCCGCGUGUGUGAAGAAGGCCUUCGGGUUGUAAAGCACUUUCAGCGGGGAGGCGGUACUCGAAGAAGAAGCACCGGCUAACGCCGUGCCAGCAGCCGCGGUAAUUC
rnacentral:rRNA from 1 species